rnacentral:misc_RNA from 1 species
UACGUAGGGGGCAAGCGUUAUCCGGAUUUACUGGGUGUAAAGGGAGCGUAGACGGCAUGGCAAGUCUGAAGUGAAAGCCCGGGGCUCAACCGCGGGACUGCUUUGGAAACUGUUAAGCUGGAGUGCAGGAGAGGUAAGUGGAAUUCCUAGUGUAGCGGUGAAAUGCGUAGAUAUUAGGAGGAACACCAGUGGCGAAGGCGGCUUACUGGACUGUAACUGACGUUGAGGCUCGAAAGCGUGGGGAGCAAACAGG